rnacentral:rRNA from 1 species
UACGUAGGGGGCAAGCGUUGUCCGGACUUACUGGGCGUAAAGCGCGUGCAGGCGGAUUGGUAUGUGCCGUGUGAAAGCUCUCAGCUUGCCUGGGAGAGGUCGCGGUAGACAGCCGAUCUGGAGGCUCGGAGAGGUCAGUGGAAUUCCCGGUGUAGUGGUGAAAUGCGUAGAGUAUCGGAGGAACACCAGUGGCGAGCAGACGACGU